rnacentral:rRNA from 1 species
UGGGGAAUAUUGCACAAUGGGGGAAACCCUGAUGCAGCGACGCCGCGUGAACGAAGAAGGUAUUCGUAUCGUAAAGUUCUGUCCUAUGGGAAGAUAAUGACAGUACCAUAGAAGAAAGCUCCGGCUAAAUACGUGCCAGCAGCCGCGGUAAUACGUAUGGAGCGAGCGUUGUCCGGAAUUAUUGGGCGUAAAGGGUACGCAGGCGGUUUAAUAAGUCGAAUGUUAAAGAUCGGGGCUCAACCCCGUAAAGCAUUGGAAACUGAUAAACUUGAGCAGUGGAGAGGAAAGUGGAAUUCCUAGUGUAGUGGUGAAAUACGUAGAUAUUAGGAGGAAUACCAGUAGCGAAGGCGACUUUCUGGACACAAACUGACGCUGAGGUACGAAAGCGUGGGGAGCAAACAGG